UGUCCUACGGGACGCAGCAGUGAGGAAUAUUGGUCAAUGGCCGAGAGGCUGAACCAGCCAAGUCGCGUGAGGGAAGACGGCCCUACGGGUUGUAAACCUCUUUUGCCGGGGAGCAAGCCUGAGCACGUGUGCCCAGGCGGAGAGUACCCGGAGAAAAAGCAUCGGCUAACUCCGUGCCAGCAGCCGCGGUAAUGCGGAGGAUGCGUGAGUUAUCCGGAUUUAUUGGGUUUAAAGGGUGCGCAGGCGGGCUGUUAAGCCGGCGGUAAA
rnacentral:rRNA from 1 species